rnacentral:rRNA from 1 species
AGAGUUUGAUCCUGGCUCAGGAUGAACGCUGGCGGCGUGCUUAACACAUGCAAGUCGAACGAAGCGAUCAGGAGGAAGUUUUCGGAUGGAAUCCGGAUUGACUGAGUGGCGGACGGGUGAGUAACGCGUGGGUAACCUGCCUCAUACAGGGGGAUAACAGUUAGAAAUGACUGCUAAUACCGCAUAAGCGCACAGGGACACAUGUUCCGGUGUGAAAAACUCCGGUGGUAUGAGAUGGACCCGCGUCUGAUUAGCUGGUUGGCGGGGUAACGGCCCACCAAGGCGACGAUCAGUAGCCGACCUGAGAGGGUGACCGGCCACAUUGGGACUGAGACACGGCCCAAACUCCUACGGGAGGCAGCAGUGGGGAAUAUUGCACAAUGGGGGAAACCCUGAUGCAGCAACGCCGCGUGAGUGAAGAAGUAUUUCGGUAUGUAAAGCUCUAUCAGCAGGGAAGAAGAUGACGGUACCUGAUUAAGAAGCCCCGGCUAACUACGUGCCAGCAGCCGCGGUAAUACGUAGGGGGCAAGCGUUAUCCGGAUUUACUGGGUGUAAAGGGAGCGUAGACGGCAUAGCAAGUCUGAAGUGAAAGCCCAAGGCUCAACCAUGGGACUGCUUUGGAAACUGUUAAGCUAGAGUGCUGGAGAGGUAAGCGGAAUUCCUAGUGUAGCGGUGAAAUGCGUAGAUAUUAGGAAGAACACCAGUGGCGAAGGCGGCUUACUGGACAGUAACUGACGUUGAGGCUCGAAAGCGUGGGGAGCGAACAGGAUUAGAUACCCUGGUAGUCCACGCCGUAAACGAUGAA